AGCGGUAGCACAGAGGAGCUUGCUCCUUGGGUGACGAGCGGCGGACGGGUGAGUAAUGUCUGGGAAACUGCCUGAUGGAGGGGGAUAACUACUGGAAACGGUAGCUAAUACCGCAUAACCUCGCAGGAGCAAAGAGGGGGACCUUAGGGCCUCUCGCCAUCAGAUGUGCCCAGAUGGGAUUAGCUAGUAGGUGAGGUAAUGGCUCACCUAGGCGACGAUCCCUAGCUGGUCUGAGAGGAUGACCAGCCACACUGGAACUGAGACACGGUCCAGACUCCUACGGGAGGCAGCAGUGGGGAAUAUUGCACAAUGGGCGCAAGCCUGAUGCAGCCAUGCCGCGUGUGUGAAGAAGGCCUUCGGGUUGUAAAGCACUUUCAGCGAGGAGGAAGGCGGUAAGGUUAAUAACCUUAUCGAUUGACGUUACUCGCAGAAGAAGCACCGGCUAACUCCGUGCCAGCAGCCGCGGUAAUACGGAGGGUGCAAGCGUUAAUCGGAAUGACUGGGCGUAAAGCGCACGCAGGCGGUCUGUUAAGUUGGAUGUGAAAUCCCCGGGCUUAACCUGGGAACUGCAUUCAAAACUGACAGGCUAGAGUCUUGUAGAGGGGGGUAGAAUUCCAGGUGUAGCGGUGAAAUGCGUAGAGAUCUGGAGGAAUACCGGUGGCGAAGGCGGCCCCCUGGACAAAGACUGACGCUCAGGUGCGAAAGCGUGUGGAGCAAACAGGAUUAGAUACCCUGGUAGUCCACGCUGUAAACGAUGUCGAUUUGGAGGUUGUGCCCUUGAGGCGUGGCUUCCGGAGCUAACGCGUUGAAUCGACCGCCUGGGGAGUACGGCCGCAAGGUUAAGACUCAAAU
rnacentral:rRNA from 1 species